UCUACAUACCCAGAAGAAGGCAUGCUUUUUGAUAAUCUAAAUACAGUCUCUCGAGAGCGCUUCCUCGUGAGCAGCCAGGUUACUCUGAACUCCCAUGUGACAGAAUUCAAAGAUCCUGAAUUGGUUAAGACCAGACAGCUGCAGUGAUGGCCAAGAUUGCCUGCAUACUCUUGCAACUGACGCACUUGAAAAACUACUUUCUGAAAUCAGUUAAUUACGUCCAAAAUUAGGCUUGCUGGGUUUUGGAGGUGGAUUUGCAUGGUUGAGAAAAGAAAGAUUAUUUGCAAUUACUCUUGGAUGCCCUUGUACAUGAAAAUUGAUCAAGCCUUGCGAUUUACUUCAUUUUCCACAAAAUCAAUGGAGGUUAGAUUUAAGUCCUUUACUUGAAAAUAAUAAUAAUAAUGAAUAGGUUAUAAAUUUUUGUGUA